UUGUUGAUAAUACUAGUUGGGUUCCUUUGAUAUGAGGAAUCCAUGUCGUCCAAACACUUGAGACAAAAAAUGUGAGAAGAGAAAAGCAGAGUGAGUUAGCUUUAGGAGCCAGAAAAGGAGAUUUCAAAACAUGCUUAGGAAAUUGCGUGGUUACUACUACUAACUACUAACCCAACCUAUAACCUAAUUCUACUUUCUCUCUCUCUUAGUUUAUGUCUAUAUUUAGCGUUUGAAUUUAUGUUCAGGGUGCAUUCUCAACCCCACAAUAUUCUUCCUUCUUUUCCUCUUCUCACUAUUAUUAGCCACACCUUAAUCUUCAAAUACUAGUUUUAUGCCAAUUCUGUAGGGUUUUUCUCUUGUGGGGCUUUCUAACCCUUUUCAUUAUGACCUACCCUCUCAAACCACAAUAUAUACCUCAUUCUCUUCUCUUCAUUCACUUCACAUUUCUCUUCUCAUCACUCUCUCUUCCUUUCUUUCUCACCCAAAUCCACCUUCAUCUUCUUCACUAUCCAUUUCUUACAACUCUACAAAAAAAAUUCUACCACCUUAUUUACUAAGUAGAGAUUUUUUAGGGUUUAAUUUUGUUUUUCAUUUUGAUGCAUCUGAUCAUCAUGCAUACAUGCAUGACUAUAUGCCUGGCUCCCUGUAUGCCAUAUACGAAGCUUAUUGAAACAUCAAUAACCGUUGUGGAUGGCGUACGGGAAGCCAAGCAUAUUCCAUAUCUACAAACAUGGAGAUCAUCAUCAAUAAAAUCAAAAUCUUGAUCUAUAGUAAUACUCUCUUUUUUCUUAAUUUUGUUUUAAUUGUAUUAUUACUAACCAAUCUUGAUUGUAGCAAGCAAGAGAGUACUCACGGCAUUGUCAUUUUCAAGGUUACAGAAGAAAGUUGUAAGGAGGCACGAGAAAGGAACAACAAGAGGAAGUUACGGAAAAAAGAACUGUUGGUGACAGUUAAUCAAUUACUGCUAACAUGGAAGUUAUGAAUGUUAUUAUUAUAUUCUUGUUUCACUGUCUAUCUCAUGGACAUUUCAUAUGACCUUGUUAUUUUACCAACAAUGCCCUAAAAAAACCAAGAUUUACUGUUUCUUCUCA